AAUAGAUACCCGGUAGUCCACGCCGUAAACGAUGAGUGCUAAGUGUUAGGGGGUUUCCGCCCCUUAGUGCUGCAGCUAACGCAUUAAGCACUCCGCCUGGGGAGUACGGUCGCAAGACUGAAACUCAAAGGAAUUGACGGGGGCCCGCACAAGCGGUGGAGCAUGUGGUUUAAUUCGAAGCAACGCGAAGAACCUUACCAGGUCUUGACAUCCCAUUGACCACUAUGGAGACAUAGUUUUCCCUUCGGGGACAACGGUGACAGGUGGUGCAUGGUUGUCGUCAGCUCGUGUCGUGAGAUGUUGGGUUAAGUCCCGCAACGAGCGCAACCCUUGUUCUUAGUUGCCAUCAUUUAGUUGGGCACUCUAAGGAGACUGCCGGUGACAAACCGGAGGAAGGUGGGGAUGACGUCAAAUCAUCAUGCCCCUUAUGACCUGGGCUACACACGUGCUACAAUGGACGGUACAAACGGUUGCCAACCCGCGAGGGGGAGCUAAUCCGAUAAAACCGUUCUCAGUUCGGAUUGUAGGCUGCAACUCGCCUACA
rnacentral:rRNA from 1 species